UACGGAGGUUCCAAGCGUUGUUCGGAAUUACUGGGCGUAAAGGGAGCGCAGGCGGUUUGGUCAGUCUAAAGUGGAAGCCCGGGGCUCAACCUCGGAAAGCCUUUGGAUACUGCCAAACUUGAGUACGUGAGAGGAAGGCGGAAUUCAAGGUGUAGCGGUGAAAUGCUUAGAUAUCUUGAGGAACACCAAUGGCGAAAGCAGCCUUCUGGCACGAAACUGACGCUGAGGCUCGAAAGCGUGGGGAGCAAAC
rnacentral:rRNA from 1 species